GGGGAUUUAGCUCAGUGGCCUAAGCGCCUGCCUUGCAAGCAGGUAAUCAUGGGUUCGAUCCCCGGUACCG
rfam:Cavia porcellus supercont2_13 genomic scaffold, whole genome shotgun sequence.